rnacentral:rRNA from 1 species
AAUGGGGGAAACCCUGACCAAGCAACGCCGCGUGGGUGAUGAAGUCUCUUGGGACGUAAAACCCUUUCGACGGGGAAGAAAACCGCAAGGUUUGACGGUACCCGUAGAAGAAGCCCCGGCUAACUCCGUGCCAGCAGCCGCGGUAAUACGGGGGGGCGAGCGUUGUUCGGAAUUACUGGGCGUAAAGGGCGCGUAGGCGGUUCGCUAAGUUGGAUGUGAAAACCCUGGGCUCAACCCAGAGCCUGCAUCCAAAACUGGCGGGCUAGAGUUCUGGAGGGGGUAGCGGAAUUCCUGGUGUAGCGGUGAAAUGCGUAGAUAUCAGGAGGAACACCGGUGGCGAAGGCGGCUACCUGGACAGAAACUGACGCUGAGGCGCGAAAGCUAGGGGAGCAAACAGGAUUAGAUACCCUGGUAGUCCUAGCCCUAAACGAUGGAUACUUGGUGUGACUGGGAUUGAAUCCAGUCGUGCCGAAGCUAACGCAUUAAGUAUCCCGCCUGGGGAGUACGGUCGCAAGGCUG